CCUACGGGAGGCUGCAGUGGGGAAUAUUGGACAAUGGGGGGAACCCUGAUCCAGCCAUGCCGCGUGUGUGAAGAAGGCCCUCGGGUUGUAAAGCACUUUCAGUGAGGAAGAACGCCUGGUGGUUAAUACCCAUCAGGAAAGACAUCACUCACAGAAGAAGCACCGGCUAACUCCGUGCCAGCAGCCGCGGUAAUACGGAGGGUGCGAGCGUUAAUCGGAAUUACUGGGCGUAAAGCGCGCGUAGGUGGCUUGAUAAGCCGGUUGUGAAAGCCCCGGGCUCAACCUGGGAACGGCAUCCGGAACUGUCAAGCUAGAGUGCAGGAGAGGAAGGUAGAAUUCCCGGUGUAGCGGUGAAAUGCGUAGAGAUCGGGAGGAAUACCAGUGGCAAAGGCGGCCUUCUGGACUGACACUGACACUGAGGUGCGAAAGCGUGGGUAGCAAACAGGAUUAGAUACCCCAGUAGUC
rnacentral:rRNA from 1 species